GUGGGUUCAGGGCCUUUUGCUGAACUUGGGGAGAAGGAGGAGGAACAGGCUUGCUGUGGCCAGAAGAAUCUCUGGCAGAAGGUGGCUGACUUAAGACUACUACUGCUGCAAUGUGAGCCCACUUCAGAAAAUGCUCAUGGUGAGACUGUUCAGACCACCGGACAAUCUGCAGGUACUCAUAGGAUGGGACAUCAAUGUCCAGAAUAUAUAAAGAACUACAAAAAAAAACAACAACAAAAACAGUUUCAGAUGUUGAAUCCAUUAUCCAUUAUCAUCAUGUGGAGAAAGAAGUGUGCAGGCAGACAAGGAGCCGAGAGUUCUCCAUCUUGAUUCACGGGCAGCAGAAGUAAAGAUUGGACUGGGCAUGGCUGGAGCAUAU
rnacentral:lncRNA from 1 species